CAACAGUUCAGUUUUUCUUUUUUUUUUGGGACCACAGUCCCCCCCAUUUUCUUCCUCCCCUGGGGCAGAGGGUCUCAGGAACAGAGAUCUUCUCUUCUUCUCUGAAGACGGGGGGCAUCACCACAAACCUCCCCAACUUUUCUCUGUUCGCUCCACUCCUGUGUUUUCCUCAGCUGCUGAAGUGGGUCUCUUGGCUCAUCAGCAUCCUCCUAAAAUACAGUCUCUCUCUUGGAGGAGAAAAUCAGUUCAGUCUAUGGCUAACAAGAAAAAGUCCAGCCAGAAGCCACUCCAUCAUCUCCUCCCACCCAGAAUUUCUCCUUCUAACAUCUCGGGUCCCAGGCUGUCUCUCUUCCUCUCUUUCAAGCCGAGGAGGAGUAAAAUUUCACAAAGCUUUCAUUUCUCAAGGAAGGGUUAAAAGUCCCGACUCCCUGGCUGGCUCUCUGCCCGGAUCUCCGGCUCCCACCUGGGAGCUGGGCACCUUGCGGCCUUGGGGCCCCCCCCGCUCUCCUCCUUCCCGCGGUACUGCUGGCAAACCGUCGCUGUCUCUUUCGAGAGAGAGAGAGACUCUGGGGGGGGGGGGGGACGGAGACAUCCCAGAUGUUUUCCACCCUUCCAUCUGCAGGGGCCAGCCUGGUUCCAGUCCCUCCACCCUUUGGCCUUACCUCAGCCAGGCCUCGGGCCUUCCCCUCCCCCGCCCAGCGAAGAGCCGGGCAGGGGAGAGUCCUGCACUGCACCCUGACCGGAACCAAAGAGAGCAAGUUCCCCUGGGAAUUCUGCUUUUAACCCCUCUGUGUUCUCAGAGGCGUGUCCACCUUCAAUUGGUCACCCUAAGUGUCAAUAUCCAAAUUGACCUCUUCCUUCCAAGAAGAUUCUUUUUCCGUGUCAAACCACGACAAUCCACCCUUUGCCUCUGAGAACACAGAUUACAAAAAAUUAUCAAAAUUACAUUCAAAACACUUCUACAUAAAACAAUAACCUACACUAAAUCUCCACCUCAGUUCACCUCACAACCCAACACAUGCUUUGCUCUUAUUCCUCUUUGAUCCCAUCUCACAUUUCAUCUUAUCACCAUCUUAUCUUGCCCAGAAUUUGAUUUUGCUG
ensembl:lncRNA